ensembl:lncRNA
GGCCGAUAGAGGAGACCUCGCUCUGGUCGAGGCCAACAGGGGGAAGAUGACAACGGGCUGGUUUUGCCGAGUCAAAGCAUUAAGGGCUGGAGCAAGAGAAAUAGCCUUGACACUGCAGGCUCGUCGAAGCACCACGCUGCGCCACCUAAAUGCCAGCACAAUAAGCAAAGAGACAGGCGACGUUUCUCAUCACAGCAGGGGGGCUCGUUGGGGAGCGCCAUCUUGUUUGGCACUUGUCGGAGAAGGGGAGAUGCGGUGUCGGGGAAGAGCCUCACAGCAGUGGGACAAAGCUUUCAUUAAGGCUCAAAUUGAGGGAGAUCACCAGAAGCUCACCACGUCUGGGGAGCUGUUUAACUCAGUAUUUUUCAGAAUCUGCCUGCGACUCAUUGGAGAUUGGUUCAGCACCCCUACAUCAAUGACAGACGAGGUUUCUAAGAAGUCACCUCAUUGCUGCCGUUUGGCAUUCACCCAUCAAAAUUGAUUAGUUUUUCCCGAAAUAAACACAUCAAAGAAGUGUCCAGGCAUAAAACAUUAAAUUGAUUUAAAAUUUUAAUUGAGCGUGAUUAACUG